CGGCCCCGUUGAUGUUCAUCACCGGUGCUGCCUCCUUUCUUAAAGGCGUAACUAGGAUGUCAGAGCUGCUGAAUACACCGGCGACCUGACACCCGGUGAUGUAGUCAAGGAUGAACUUUAAAGUCAACAUGGAUGAGAAUAGAUCCACUUACAGUCCAAGGCAACCAAACAAACUCAGUCUGCCCAUGAGAUCUGCAUGGUGUGGCCAAAAGCUCCACAAUGACUGACCUAAAUGAAGACGAUGAGAUGGAGAGGUGUUGGGAGAGAACGAGUGGGCCUGAGCUACGUUGUCUAUCCCUGCAGCUUGCUUUGGUUACCAUGGAGAUUCCAGAUUCCUGCAG